UUCUCUGUAGAGUCUGCAUAUCAAUAAGCGGAGGAAAAGAAACUAACAAGGAUUCCCUAGUAACGGCGAGUGAAGCGGGAAGAGCUCAAAUUUGAAAUCUUCAAGGUUUUACCUUGACGAAUUGUAGUUUAAAGAAGUGUUUUCUGUUAGAGAGUUGGUAAAAGUUCUUUGGAAUAGGACAUCAUAGAGGGUGAGAAUCCCGUAUUUGACCAUUCUUUCUAGCUUUGUGAUACACUUUCAAAGAGUCGGAUUGUUUGGGAAUGCAGUCCAAAAUGGGUGGUAAAUUUCAUCUAAAGCUAAAUAUUGGCGAGAGACCGAUAGCGAACAAGUACCGUGAGGGAAAGAUGAAAAGAACUUUGAAAAGAGAGUUAAACAGUACGUGAAAUUGUCAAAAGGGAAGCGUUUGACACCAGUGUUGUUUUUCCGAAAAUCAAUUAAAAAUGGAUUCAUGCUAAGUUGUAUUGACCUUAUCAGCUUGCAAUUUAGUUUUGGGUUUCUUUUUGAUGCACUUUUCGGUUAACAAGUCAACAUCAAUUUCCUUUGCUGUAAAAAGGCAGGAGGAAGGUGGCUUCAAUUUCGGUUGAAGUGUUUAUAGCCUUCUGUCUCUGCAGUCGGGGAGAUUGAGGUCUGCAGCGUAGAUCCUUCGGGGCUAGAUACAUUCGUGCUAAGUUAUAGCCUUUUAUAGACAACUUGUUGACUAUGAUUGGUCUUGUAAUUUACUCGCGAGUGCUAUUUUACCUACGCUUAGGAUGUUGAUCUACAGAGCGAGAGU
rnacentral:rRNA from 1 species